rnacentral:rRNA from 1 species
UACGGAGGGUGCAAGCGUUAUCCGGAAUCACUGGGUUUAAAGGGUGCGUAGGCGGCUUAGUAAGUCAGUGGUGAAAGACUGUGGCUUAACCAUGGAAUUGCCAUUGAUACUGCUGAGCUUGAAUCAGGUUGAGGUUGGCGGAAUGUGACAUGUAGCGGUGAAAUGCUUAGAUAUGUCAUGGAACACCGAUUGCGAAGGCAGCUGACUGGACCUGUAUUGACGCUGAGGCACGAAAGCGUGGGGAGCGAUCAGG